UAAGGAAUAUUGGACAAUGGAGGCAACUCUGAUCCAGCCAUGCCGCGUGAAGGAAUAAGGCCCUAUGGGUUGUAAACUUCUUUUAGACGGGACAAAACCCCUUUACGUGUAAAGGGUUGAUGGUACUGUCAGAAUAAGCAUCGGCUAACUUCGUGCCAGCAGCCGCGGUAAUACGAAGGAUGCAAGCGUUAUCCGGAAUUAUUGGGUUUAAAGGGUGCGUAGGCGGACUAAUAAGUCAGUGGUGAAAGCCUGCAGCUUAACUGCAGAAUUGCCAUUGAUACUGUUAGUCUUGAGUACAGUUGAGGUAGGCGGAAUGUGUCAUGUACCGGUGAAAUGCUUAGAUAUGACACAGAACACCGAUUGCGAAGGCAGCUUGCUAAGCUGUAACUGACGCUGAGGCACGAAAGCGUGGGGAGCAAACA
rnacentral:rRNA from 1 species